rnacentral:rRNA from 1 species
UACGUAGGGUGCAAGCGUUGUCCGGAUUUAUUGGGCGUAAAGAGCUCGUAGGCGGUCUGUCGCGUCGGAUGUGAAAACCCAGGGCUCAACCCUGGGCCUGCAUUCGAUACGGGCAGACUAGAGUACGGCAGGGGAGACUGGAAUUCCUGGUGUAGCGGUGAAAUGCGCAGAUAUCAGGAGGAACACCGGUGGCGAAGGCGGGUCUCUGGGCCGAUACUGACGCUGAGGAGCGAAAGCGUGGGGAGCGAACAGG